CGAUCAAGAAGAUGUUCAAACAACCAAGAGAUAAGUUAGACCAAAGACAGAAUGAGGAGCGUAACUGUUACCACUUAUUUGUGUAGAGCAGUAUGGUACCAGUGGUGCAGCCGACUCUGAAUUCCUGGCUUGUUCUAAUGAAAAAAGGCAGAUGAGGCACUGGAAUCCGAAUGAAAUCAAAAAUGCCAUUGUAUGAGGAUUGACCUGCAAUGCAUGGAAAUCAUCUAACACAACUGCAACGCCUACCUUGGGGAAAUGAGUGCAAGAUGGAAACAAAGCAUUCAGUGAAACAUCUUGUCAUCUCAAAUAUUUGAUGACUCAAUACUGAUGUGAAGUUGCAGAUAAAAGUAAUAUGUUGGCCCGUGAUUAUUAGAUACACCCAGACACAUAUUUUAAAAGGGUUAUAUGGUAAAGGAUUUAUCUACGCUUAAAGUGGUUUUCCUAUAUUAAGGAGGGAAGAUAACUACAAAAACAGA